GAAGUGCCACAAGCAAAUUUUCGAUAGCGUUCUUUGUGGAUACUAUGUUUACCAAUUUCUUAGGUAAACGGGAGGUACACAACGAACCCUGAGUACGCACGGAUGAUCCAACGUACCAACCUCUCUCUUACAGACAAAGUUAUCUAAAACGUCCAACGUGAUAUGUGCCAGUUUAUUAUGCACGAAGUCAUCCACAGAGUGACAAAUUCUUUGAUCUCGGAGGCGAAGUAGCUAACCAUCCGUGGCUUUAUGAGUGGGAGAAGAAAGACUCUUAGUAAUAUAGGCUUGUGAUGUAAAAAUACUUGUGAAUAUUAUUGUACUUGUGUUAAAUAUUGAAAUCUGUGAUGCUAUUGAAAUCUGUGAUGUUGAAAUCUGUAUUGAAAUUGUGUGAAAUCUUGAGGAAAUAAAAUAUAUGCUCAUUAUUU